CGGGGGGAGCAAGCGUUGUUCGGAUUUACUGGGCGUAAAGGGCGCGUAGGCGGCCUCUGCAAGUCGACUGUGAAAUCUCCGGGCUUAACCCGGAACGGUCAGCCGAUACUGCAGGGCUAGAGUGCAGAAGGGGCAACUGGAAUUCUCGGUGUAGCGGUGAAAUGCGUAGAUAUCGAGAGGAACAUCUGCGGCGAAGGCGGGUUGCUGGGCUGACACUGACGCUGAGGCGCGAAAGCUAGGGGAGCGAACGGGAUUAGAUACCCCGGUAGUCCUAGCCUUAAACGAUGAAUGCUUGGUGUCUGGGGUUUUAUAGCCCCCGGGUGCCGUCGCUAACGCUUUAAGCAUUCCGCCUGGGGAGUACGGUCGCAAGACUG
rnacentral:rRNA from 1 species